CCUACGGGUGGGAGCAGUGGGGAAUAUUGGACAAUGGGCGAAAGCCUGAUCCAGCCAUGCCGCGUGUGUGAAGAAGGCCUUCGGGUUGUAAAGCACUUUCAGUGGGGAAGAAAGCCUUGGGGCUAAUACCCUCGAGGAAGGACAUCACCCACAGAAGAAGCACCGGCUAACUCCGUGCCAGCAGCCGCGGUAAUACGGAGGGUGCGAGCGUUAAUCGGAAUUACUGGGCGUAAAGCGCGCGUAGGCGGUCUGAUAAGCCGGUUGUGAAAGCCCCGGGCUCAACCUGGGAACGGCAUCCGGAACUGUCAGGCUAGAGUGCAGGAGAGGAAGGUAGAAUUCCCGGUGUAGCGGUGAAAUGCGUAGAGAUCGGGAGGAAUACCAGUGGCGAAGGCGGCCUUCUGGACUGACACUGACGCUGAGGUGCGAAAGCGUGGGUAGCAAACAGGAUUAGAUACCCUGGUAGUC
rnacentral:rRNA from 1 species